ACGGAGGGUGCAAGCGUUAAUCGGAAUCACUGGGCGUAAAGCGCUCGUAGGCGGCAUGGUCAGUCAGACGUGAAAUCCCGUGGCUUAACCGCGGAACUGCGUUUGAUACUGCCAGGCUUGAGUGUCGGAGAGGGUGGCGGAAUUCCGGGUGUAGGAGUGAAAUCCGUAGAUAUCCGGAGGAACACCAGUGGCGAAGGCGGCCACCUGGACGACAACUGACGCUGAGGAGCGAAAGCGUGGGGAGCAAACAG
rnacentral:rRNA from 1 species